CCGCCUGACCCCGCUGGGCACAGAGGAAGGGGCAUGGCAAGCGCAGACCCAGGGGCCCCAGCUUGCGCCCGGCCGGGCUCCUCUAGGCCGGCUGCCUCGGAUAGGCGCCACACCUGGAAGUCUACCAUCGAGGCUCAGGACUUUAGCGGCCUCCUCCGGGAAGGCAGCGCUGGAUCCCCAGCAGCCCUUCAUGACCACUUCAUGCCAUCUCCACAAUCUUUUGAAGGCUGGAAAGAUUAUUAAGCCCAUUUGAUUGAGUCUAGAGAGAGAGCUAAUACUGACCGAGCACCUCCUGUGUGCCAAGCAGCGUGCCUUGCACUUCAAACACCUUGACUCAUUGAAUUCUGCCCAUGACCUCCUGAAAUGAGAACGUGGAGGCCCAGAGAGGGCAAGUGAUUCACCCAAACUCCAACAGCCAACCAGCAGAAGAGGCAGAGAGAGGGAUGACACCCCUGGGGCUAAACAAGGAGGCAGCCCUUGGGCCAGGAUCAAGAGCCUGCUUCUUACUAGCUGUGUGCCCUCAGGCAAGUCUUUUCAGCUUUCUUCUUUUUCUGUUAUUUUCUCCCAUCUCAGAAGCUGGCUGUGUGGUUUAACUAAGAAAGAAAAAGUUGGCCACACAGCCCAGUUCUUUGUAAGUGCAGAAUAAUUUCAGCUAUUAUGAUUAUUUCCUGGAGAAGGAAGAAAGAGGUGGGCCAGCUGAUCACCAUCAAGCUUCAAGCAGACCCCAUGAACUCACCAGCCAAUUAAACUGUUCCAGAAGAGAUGGGGCUUCUGCAUUAAUCCUCUGUCCUCCAAAGAAUGGGUCCAACCUCACACACCUCCUUCUCCAUGGAGUGAGGAUUUGGGAGAAGAUAGGAAAGAAGAGAGCCCCCAUGUCAGUUGAGCCCUUUCUCUAUACCAGGUGAGGUCAAAACAUCUCACAACUGGUUAUGGGUGAGCACCCCUUGAGGGCCUGCUUCUGUUCUACUUUAAUGUGUCCCUUUGGAGUGUUGGUCCUUUGCUUGUCAUCUGUGCUUCAGAGGGAGGCUGGGUGGGCAGGGCACUCAGGAGCCCCUCUUGGCCAACUCUAAGCUGCUGCUCAUGAAGACUGGAGGCCCUGAUGGACUGGCUGGUGCUAAUGAUGGGCAGGGGGGAACCUGGGCCUUUCGUGGGGCCUCCAUUUGUCCAGCUGACUUAGUCCCAGCUCUGGGCACACCAAUGCAGUGAUGGCCCUCAGGGGCUUCCCAUCCAGAGGGAAAGGCUCAACGCUGUCAUAGACAACACCAAGUCUUCAAAGCCUCUGACAAAGACAUGGAAGAUCUCUAAGCCUCUGAUGGCCUGUUUCUCAAGCACCUGAAUGAUGUGAAAGAAUAUUCUGGAGACUUCAGAGAAGGUCCAGAGAGGGAGCUGGAAAAGGGGUCAAGAAAGGCUUCAUACAGAGGAAGAAAUGAGUGUGUAGUAUCUUACAAGAGGAACUGAAGUCAUCAGAAAGAAAGAGUGUGGUUGUCAAGGAGAACAGCUUGACAGAGCAUGGGUUAUUUUAGGAACAUGAGGACUCUGGUUAGUGCUAGACUAUGUGAAGGUUAGAGGAGAGGCUGUGCCUGGAGGUGAGGCUGGAGGGUGAGGCUAGAUGGGAAGUCUGGUUCAGAUUGGGAAGCAACUGAAUGCCAUGCUGAGAAUUUGUAGUUUAUUCUGAGGGAUGCAAGGAGCCACUGCAGGCUCUUGAGAAGGGGUGGGGCAUGGCUAGAUAUAUAUUUUGGAGAAACAAGUCAGGGCAGCUGAAGGGUUGGGCCUAGAGGAAAGAAGAUCAGAUCUGUGGUUACUGCUGAGCUAAGAGUGACCUGAAUCAAGACAUCAGCCAUGGAAAAAAUCAGUGUGGCACUGAUAAAAGUAUUCAUUUCUCAGCCUUAUUAGGAACUGGAUGUAACUAAGUUCUAAGAACCCUUAGAACUUCUGAGAGUUACAUGUAAAAGUAGAAAUGUUGGGUUAGACUUUUG